GGUUAAGUCCCGUAACAAGCGCAACCCUUAUCCUUAUUUGCCAGCACAUCAUGGUGGGAACUAUAAGGAGACUGCCGGUGAUAAACCGGAGGAAGGCGGGGACGACGUCAAGUCAUCAUGGCCCUUACGACCAGGGCUACACACGUGCUACAAUGGGAAGGACAAAGGGUUGCUAAGCCGCGAGGUAGUGCUAAUCUCAUAAACCUUUUCGUAGUCCGGAUCGGAGUCUGCAACUCGACUCCGUGAAGUCGGAAUCGCUAGUAAUCGUGGAUCAGAAUGCCACGGUGAAUACGUUCCCGGGUCUUGUACACACCGCCCGUCAUACCAUGGGAGUGGGUUGCACCAGAAGUGGCUAGUCUAACUUAGUGAGGACGGUCACCACGGUGUGAUCCAUGACUGGGGUAAAGUCGUAACAAGGUA
rnacentral:rRNA from 1 species